AGACAUGGGGCUUGCAGCUAAGGAGGGAAGUCCUCUCUAAAGCCAGCCUGUGAAGACAGCACUUGCCUGCCCUGACGCUCCUGUGGCCUCCAGGCCUGUGGCUCUGGUAACAGUUUCUUCCUCCCUCCCCGCCACCCCCUUUUUCUUGGUGACAGCUGGAAGUAGCAGUGGUCACAACUGAGAGAGCCAAACAUUUCUACAGCCCCCAGGACAUUGCUGUCACCCUCUACAGCGACGCUGAUGAAUGGGAGAUGUGGAAGAGCCGCUCUGACCCAGUUCUGCACAUUGACCUGCGGAGGUGGGCAGACCUCCUGCUGGUGGCUCCUCUUGAUGCCAACACUCUGGGGAAGGUGGCCAGUGGCAUCUGUGACAACUUGCUUGUGAGUGAUGUCCUGGUGCCCUCGUCCGUCCCUGGGCCUCACACCCAGUUUGCUGAGCUGCAGACAUCCUUGUACAAGGAGACCUGCUGCUGUGGGGCCCCGGUCUGCC
rnacentral:sRNA from 1 species